rnacentral:rRNA from 1 species
AUACGUAGGGGGCGAGCGUUGUCCGGAAUGACUGGGCGUAAAGGGCGUGUAGGCGGCUGUCUAAGUCUGGAGUGAAAGUCCUGCUUUCAAGGUGGGAAUUGCUUUGGAGACUGGAUGGCUUGAGUGCGGAAGAGGUAAGUGGAAUUCCCAGUGUAGCGGUGAAAUGCGUAGAGAUUGGGAGGAACACCAGUGGCGAAGGCGACUUACUGGGCCGUAACUGACGCUGAGGCGCGAAAGCGUGGGGAGCGAACAGGAUUAGAUACCCUGGUAGUCCACGCGGUAAACGAUGAAUGCCAGGUGUUGCGGGUAUCGACCCCUGCAGUGCCGGAGUAAACACAAUAAGCAUUCCGCCUGGGGAGUACGGCCGCAAGGUUGAAACUCAAAGGAAUUGACGGG